AACAGGCUGAUUCGCAUACAUAAAUCUAUACAGUUACAAUAACCACAGUAGAAGCAAAUUUUUAAAAUUUUAAUCUGAUCUAAGUAUAUUGAUUCUAAAUCAUAAUCACCUCUAGGAUCAUCUAACAUGCACAAAUAAAUUUAUGAACAUAGAUUUGAAAUCAUAAAUAGUAAGAAGAAGGUAUACUUUAUCGCUUUUCCUUCCUCCUUC
rnacentral:lncRNA from 1 species